UACAGCUAAACAACAAGAUGAGGGUGGCGAUGGUCAGUUCUUGAGCUUCAAACGAGCAAAAAGCUAAACAAAAGAAUGAGGGUGGCGAUGGUCAGUUCUUGAGCUUGGAACAAGCAGAAAGCUAAACAACAAGUGGAGGGUGGCGAUGGUCAGUUCUUGAGCUUCGAACGGGCAUAAAGCUAAACAACAAGAUGAGGGUGGCGAUGCACAGUUCUUGAGCUUCGAACGGGCAUAAAGCUAAAAAUCAAGAUGAGGGUGGCGAUGGUCAGUUCUUGAACUUCAAACGAGCAAAAAGCUAAACAACAAGAUGAGGGUGGCGAUGGUCAGUUCUUGAGCUUCGAACAAGCAGAAAGCUAAACAACAAGAUGAGGGUGGCGAUGGUCAGUUCUUGAGCUUCGAACGGGCAAAAAGCUAAACAACAAGAUGAGGGUGGCGAUGGUCAGUUCUUGAGCUUGGAACGGGCAUAAAGCUAAACAACAAGAAGAGGGUGGCGAUGGUCAGUUUUUGAGCUUGGAACGGGCAGAAAGCUAAACAACCAGAUGAGGGUGGCGAUGGUCAGUUCUUGAACUUCGAACGGGCAGAAAGCUAAACAACAAGCUGAGGGUGGCGAUGGUCAGUUCUUGAGCUUCGAACGGGCAUAAAGCUAAACAACAAGAUGAGGGUGGCGAUGGUCAGUUCUUGAGCUUUGAACGGG